AGCAGAGUGGCCUAGCGGAAAGAGCACAAGUCUGGAAUCAGAGGACCUAAGUUCUAAUCUUGGCUCUGCUG
rnacentral:tRNA from 1 species